rnacentral:rRNA from 1 species
UACGUAGGGUGCGAGCGUUAAUCGGAAUUACUGGGCGUAAAGCGUGCGCAGGCGGCUUGUUAAGUCAGGGGUGAAAUCCCCGAGCUCAACUUGGGAAUGGCGCUUGUUACUGGCAAGCUAGAGUGUGUCAGAGGGAGGUAGAAUUCCACGUGUAGCAGUGAAAUGCGUAGAGAUGUGGAGGAAUACCGAUGGCGAAGGCAGCCUCCUGGGAUAACACUGACGCUCAUGCACGAAAGCGUGGGGAGCAAACAGG